AGAGUUUGAUCAUGGCUCAGAUUGAACGCUGGCGGCAGGCCUAACACAUGCAAGUCGAACGGUAACAGGAAACAGCUUGCUGUUUCGCUGACGAGUGGCGGACGGGUGAGUAAUGUCUGGGAAACUGCCUGAUGGAGGGGGAUAACUACUGGAAACGGUAGCUAAUACCGCAUAAUGUCGCAAGACCAAAGAGGGGGACCUUAGGGCCUCUUGCCAUCGGAUGUGCCCAGAUGGGAUUAGCUUGUUGGUGGGGUAACGGCUCACCAAGGCGACGAUCCCUAGCUGGUCUGAGAGGAUGACCAGCCACACUGGAACUGAGACACGGUCCAGACUCCUACGGGAGGCAGCAGUGGGGAAUAUUGCACAAUGGGCGCAAGCCUGAUGCAGCCAUGCCGCGUGUAUGAAGAAGGCCUUCGGGUUGUAAAGUACUUUCAGCGGGGAGGAAGGGAGUAAAGUUAAUACCUUUGCUCAUUGACGUUACCCGCAGAAGAAGCACCGGCUAACUCCGUGCCAGCAGCCGCGGUAAUACGGAGGGUGCAAGCGUUAAUCGGAAUUACUGGGCGUAAAGCGCACGCAGGCGGUUUGUUAAGUCAGAUGUGAAAUCCCCGGGCUCAACCUGGGAACUGCAUCUGAUACUGGCAAGCUUGAGUCUCGUAGAGGGGGUAGAAUUCCAGGUGUAGCGGUGAAAUGCGUAGAGAUCUGGAGGAAUACCGGUGGCGAAGGCGGCCCCCUGGACGAAGACUGACGCUCAGGUGCGAAAGCGUGGGGAGCAAACAGGAUUAGAUACCCUGGUAGUCCACGCCGUAAACGAUGUCGACUUGGAGGUUGUGCCCUUGAGGCGUGGCUUCCGGAGCUAACGCGUUAAGUCGACCGCCUGGGGAGUACGGCCGCAAGGUUAAAACUCAAAUGAAUUGACGGGGGCCCGCACAAGCGGUGGAGCAUGUGGUUUAAUUCGAUGCAACGCGAAGAACCUUACCUGGUCUUGACAUCCACGGAAGUUUUCAGAGAUGAGAAUGUGCCUUCGGGAACCGUGAGACAGGUGCUGCAUGGCUGUCGUCAGCUCGUGUUGUGAAAUGUUGGGUUAAGUCCCGCAACGAGCGCAACCCUUAUCCUUUGUUGCCAGCGGUCCGGCCGGGAACUCAAAGGAGACUGCCAGUGAUAAACUGGAGGAAGGUGGGGAUGACGUCAAGUCAUCAUGGCCCUUACGACCAGGGCUACACACGUGCUACAAUGGCGCAUACAAAGAGAAGCGACCUCGCGAGAGCAAGCGGACCUCAUAAAGUGCGUCGUAGUCCGGAUUGGAGUCUGCAACUCGACUCCAUGAAGUCGGAAUCGCUAGUAAUCGUGGAUCAGAAUGCCACGGUGAAUACGUUCCCGGGCCUUGUACACACCGCCCGUCACACCAUGGGAGUGGGUUGCAAAAGAAGUAGGUAGCUUAACCUUCGGGAGGGCGCUUACCACUUUGUGAUUCAUGACUGGGGUGAAGUCGUAACAAGGUAACCGUAGGGGAACCUGCGGUUG
rnacentral:rRNA from 1 species